rnacentral:lncRNA from 10 species
CUGGCAUUGUCACUAAAGAGAGGCAGGAUGCAUUGCUGAGUCAUCACAUCGGGGGCAGCCACCUUGGUGAAUCACCCAAUUCACAGAGGACUUCAUUAGAUGAGAGUGCCUAUUUCUGCACACGACUUGUAUUAUCAAAUAUUCUAAUUUCUGCCAACAUAAUAGGGAGCAAAGUUUGUCAUCUUGAUACACUAGAUCUUUGAUGAUAUCAAUAAGGAAACAUCCACACCCUUUGGUUAAAAGACUCUGAGACUUCAAGGACUGCUGGCUGUUCAGAAGAGGCUGUGGUGGUUCAAGUGAGGCUCAAGGCUGUAGUUAUACCAAUCUGUUACUCCAUGAAGAGUCCAAGGCUGCUGAACAGAGUGAACCUCAGAACAGAUAGCAGUGGCACCUAGAAGAUAUAAUCUCAACAGCAGAUGAGUUAUUGAGGGAUGAUUGCUGAUUAUGGAUUCCUCUUCAUCUCUCUUAACUUAUAUUCCAAGCUGUUAACCUAGAAUAAAUCCUACUAUAUCUAAUUAAUGCAUUAAUCAAACUUUGUUUUGAAUGGAAGGGGGGAGAAUAUGUUGAUUACCCCGGCUAGUGGGAUACAAAAUAUACCUAAAGCAGAAUAUCUUUCUCCAUCAUGAAUAACAUUAAUCUCUGCAGUUCUUACAAGUGAAUAAUUAUUAUAUAGUUUGUUUCCUAUUUGUCUGGCUUGGUAUUUAUCCUUUAUGAGUUUCCAGGUGACAAUUUGUUUCAGGAAGAAUUCUCCAGAAACAAUUUUUUAAGAUUAUCGUCAAAUUCCUUAAUAAAGAGUUGAAAGCCAAACUCACUAGGUGAAAUGCAACAACAACCAAUGGGCAACAGACUGAUCUCCAACUUCCUGAAUUCUUUUUUUUUUUUUUUUUUUGAGACAGGGUCUCUCUCUGUCGAUCAGGCUGGAGUGCAGUGGCUCAAUCUUGGCUCACUGCAGCCUCCACCUCCCAGGCCCAAGCAAUCCCGAGUAGUAGGGACUCAGGCACGCACCACGACACCUGGCUAAUUUUUUGUAUUUUUGGUAGAGAGAGGGUUUCACCAUGUUGCCCAGGCUGGUCUUGAGCUCCUGAGCUCAAAGUAUUUGCUUGCCUCAGCCUCCCAAAGUGCUGGGGUUACAGGCGUGAGCCACCGUGCCAGGCCUUUAAUUCUUAAUUGCCGCCAGGAUUGAUUGGUAAGGCUGUAGAAGAGUUGCUGUCCAUUCCAAGUCUUCCCAUCUGAAGCAACCACCAUGCCACAGCCUUAUUCUGUCCCAUGGCUGUUUUGUGCAUCUCCAAGUGUACCAGUGUGAGGCCCUCAAACACACCCAUGCCCUCUGAUGAAAUAAUGUUGGUCGUGAUAACCACAGGGAUGUCACAGCCGCCGUUCCACACUCUAACUAAUUCUUAUUUUGUUCCAACAACAACAAUUUGAAAUGGGAAGAACCACCCCAUUUUAGACAUUUCAAAACGAGGGCUUGGAUAGAUUAUGUACCUUGUCCAAGGUCACACAACCAAAUGGCAAGGUACGGACUCAACCUAGUUCCAUCUGCCUCCAGUCCAAAACCCAGAGCUCUCAACUGCCACCCUCAUUGUCUCUACUAGAUACGGGCUUCCCUGCGGUAACUGUUGAGGCUGGAAAACACAGGCCUGAGAGAACUUUUAAAUAUGAAAUGAUAACUCUUUGCCUACUGAGAUUCUUAUUUUUAAAAACCCAGAGGAAGAUCAUAUUUAUAUAUUUAUUCAACAUUCACGUAUGAUAUUUAGAUUUACAAAAUGCUUUAUAGUGUAACAGAAUGGGCAGAAAUUUUUACUCGGGCUUAUAAUUGUCUUUUCUUUCAUAUUCAUUUAUUCCUUUGAUUUAUAUAAUGUGUUCUCUGCUUGGUCUUCUGAGAUUACGUACAAUGGUAACAAAUCGAAAAUAAUAUUAAUAAAAGAUUAUUUUGUAUCACUCACAGGGAAAACUGACUGGGGCCAUGCGCCUCUCUGUUCUUUAGAAACGUUAUGCGAGAGAACAUAAUAUUGUCCCCAGAAUACUGUCUGUAAUGCCGGCUAUGCUUAUUCGUGGUGCUUUAAAAAUAAAUUUAACUCCUGUUCUUCAU